GUGAAGAGGUCAUUAUUUCUAAAACUAGAGAAGAAAUCAGUUAGAUUUGUUUGAACAAAUAAAAUGUGAAUUUGGAAGAGAUUCAAUAUGGCCAUAAUUAUUUACCUCAACAAACCACACUCCUCUCAUUCCUUUCCCCACACCCCCAACAAAAAAAAAAGGGAAUCCUGAAUUAUUAAAAGAUCAUAGGAGAAAAAUUU
rnacentral:misc_RNA from 1 species